rnacentral:rRNA from 1 species
UACGUAGGGUGCGAGCGUUGUCCGGAAUUAUUGGGCGUAAAGGGCUCGUAGGCGGUCUGUUGCGUCGGGAGUGAAAACUCAGGGCUUAACCCUGAGCCUGCUUCCGAUACGGGCAGACUAGAGGUAUGCAGGGGAGACGGAAUUCCUGGUGUAGCGGUGAAAUGCGCAGGAUAUCAGGAGGAACACCGGUGGCGAAGGCGGUUCUCUGGGCAUUACCUGACGCUGAGGAGCGAAAGUGUGGG